rnacentral:rRNA from 1 species
UGGCGGACGGGUGAGGAAUACAUCGGAAUCUACUCUGUCGUGGGGGAUAACGUAGGGAAACUUACGCUAAUACCGCAUACGACCUACGGGUGAAAGCAGGGGAUCUUCGGACCUUGCGCGAUUGAAUGAGCCGAUGUCGGAUUAGCUAGUUGGCGGGGUAAAGGCCCACCAAGGCGACGAUCCGUAGCUGGUCUGAGAGGAUGAUCAGCCACACUGGAACUGAGACACGGUCCAGACUCCUACGGGAGGCAGCAGC